rnacentral:rRNA from 1 species
GUGUCAGCAGCCGCGGUAAUACGUAGGAGGCGAGCGUUAUCCGGAUUUACUGGGCGUAAAGCGCGCGCAGGCGGCUUCGUAAGUCGGAUGUGAAAGCCCCUGGCUCAACUGGGGGAGGCCAUUCGAUACUGCGAGGCUUGAGGUCGGGAGAGGGGUGUGGAAUUCCCGGUGUAGUGGUGGAAUGCGUAGAUAUCGGGAGGAACACCAGUGGCGAAGGCGGCACCCUGGCCCGCACCUGACGCUCAGGCGGGAAAGCGGGGGGAGCGAACGGGAUUAGAUACCCCGGUAGUCCACGCCGUAAACGAUGGCGACUAGGUGUUGGUGGCGUCAAACCCAUCAGUGCCGAAGCUAACGCGUUAAGUCGCCCGCCUGGGGACUACGGCCGCAAGGCUAAAACUUAAAGGAAUUGACGGGG